AUUGAACGCUGGCGGCAGGCUUAACACAUGCAAGUCGAGCGGGGGAAGGUAGCUUGCUACUGGACCUAGCGGCGGACGGGUGAGUAAUGCUUAGGAAUCUGCCUAUUAGUGGGGGACAACAUCUCGAAAGGGAUGCUAAUACCGCAUACGUCCUACGGGAGAAAGCAGGGGAUCUUCGGACCUUGCGCUAAUAGAUGAGCCUAAGUCGGAUUAGCUAGUUGGUGGGGUAAAGGCCUACCAAGGCGACGAUCUGUAGCGGGUCUGAGAGGAUGAUCCGCCACACUGGGACUGAGACACGGCCCAGACUCCUACGGGAGGCAGCAGUGGGGAAUAUUGGACAAUGGGGGGAACCCUGAUCCAGCCAUGCCGCGUGUGUGAAGAAGGCCUUAUGGUUGUAAAGCACUUUAAGCGAGGAGGAGGCUACUCUAGUUAAUACCUAGGGAUAGUGGACGUUACUCGCAGAAUAAGCACCGGCUAACUCUGUGCCAGCCGCCGCCGCAG
rnacentral:rRNA from 1 species